rfam:Schistosoma mansoni, Puerto Rico, WGS project CABG01000000 data, contig: 0185
AUUUAGGUCCCAAAUAGGACGAAACGCGCGUCGUGGAU